UACGUAGGGUGCAAGCGUUGUCCGGAAUUAUUGGGCGUAAAGAGCUCGUAGGCGGUUUGUCGCGUCUGCUGUGAAAACCUAAGGCUCAACCUUGGGCUUGCAGUGGGUACGGGGCAGACUAGAGUGCGGUAGGGGGUGACUGGAAUUCCUGGUGUAGCGGUGGAAUGCGCAGAUAUCAGGAGGAACACCCGAUGGCGAAGGCAGGUCACUGG
rnacentral:rRNA from 1 species